AUGGUGCUGAAACUGGACUUCAGGAAAGCCUUCGACUCUUUGUCCUGGCACGCCCUCCUCCUAAUCCUGCAACAUAGGGGCUUUCCCACCCGUUUCUGCUCAUGGAUAAACGAUCUACUCACCUCUGGAAAAACUGCUGUAAUGCUAAACGGUGUGCAGGGAGACUGGAUCAACUGCAAGAAUGGCUUGCGUUAGGGUGAUCCCAUGUCUCCAUACCUCUUCCUCAUAGUUGUCGAUGUUCUGCAGCAACUCAUACUAAAAACGGCUUCCUCCUCUCCUGACCUACGCCACCCAAUCUACCCUGAUCUCCCCCCUAUCAUCCUGCAAUACGCGGAUGACACGCUAAUCAUAGCUCACGCUUCUUCUAACGCCGCCGUCACCCUAUGA
rnacentral:rRNA from 1 species